rnacentral:misc_RNA from 1 species
ACGAAGUACAGGCCCUCUCGUAGGGCUAAACUUCCACCCUUUGUUAACUACACUUUGUUGCUUUGGCGAGACGCCUUCACAGGCCACCGGCUUCGGCGGGUGCGCGCCCGCCAGAGAAAACCCAAACCCAAACCAUUUUUAUUGUCGUCUGAAAACAAGUUUAAAUUAUUA